GUUCCGUUGGCCAAGUGAUUAGAGCGUCCACCUCAGAUGCGGGAGGUCGUGGGUUCGAUCCCCGGUCAAGUAAUA